AUUGAACGCUGGCGGCAUGCUUUACACAUGCAAGUCGAACGGUAGAGGGGCAACCCUUGAGAGUGGCGAACGGGUGAGUAAUGCAUCGGAACGUGCCCAGUAGUGGGGGAUAGCCCGGCGAAAGCCGGAUUAAUACCGCAUGAGGCCUGAGGGUGAAAGCGGGGGAUCGCAAGACCUCGCGCUAUUGGAGCGGCCGAUGUCAGAUUAGCUAGUUGGUGGGGUAAAGGCCUACCAAGGCGACGAUCUGUAGCUGGUCUGAGAGGACGACCAGCCACACUGGGACUGAGACACGGCCCAGACUCCUACGGGAGGCAGCAGUGGGGAAUUUUGGACAAUGGGCGCAAGCCUGAUCCAGCCAUGCCGCGUGCGGGAAGAAGGCCUUCGGGUUGUAAACCGCUUUUGUCAGGGAAGAAAUCUUCUGGGCUAAUACCCUGGGAGGAUGACGGUACCUGAAGAAUAAGCACCGGCUAACUACGUGCCAGCCGCCGCAGUAACAC
rnacentral:rRNA from 1 species